rnacentral:rRNA from 1 species
UGGGUUUAGAACGUCGUGAGACAGUUCGGUCCCUAUCUGCCGUGGGCGCUGGAGAAUUGAGGGGGGCUGCUCCUAGUACGAGAGGACCGGAGUGGACGCAUCACUGGUGUUCGGGUUGUCAUGCCAAUGGCACUGCCCGGUAGCUAAAUGCGGAAGAGAUAAGUGCUGAAAGCAUCUAAGCACGAAACUUGCCCCGAGAUGAGUUCUCCCUGAGACUUUAAGUCUCCUGAAGGAACGUUGAAGACGACGACGUUGAUAGGCCGGGUGUGUAAGCGCAGCGAUGCGUUGAGCUAACCGGUACUAAUGAACCGUGAGGCUUAACCUU